ensembl:lncRNA
ACUGCUGACUUGAAUCUAAUCAGAACACAGACUGAAUUCUACUACCCAGCCAGGCCUCUCAAAAUCAAAUCCAGAGACGUAGAAGCAUCUUAUAACAUGGUUGGUGGACCUGGAGACAGAAAGACCUAAGUUCAAAUCUUACUGGUUACUUACUAACCAUAUUACCUUGGGCAAGCCACAUAACUCCUGUUUGCCUCAGUUUCCUCAAGUGUAAAAUGCUUACCUAAUGCCAGUGGUGAGAUGGAAUUAUUCCUCUCAGAGACCAAAGGAAGAAAAAGAUAAGCAUGUCGAAUAGCCUACAUUGGAUUGGAGAGCAAUUGGAGAGCUGAGUAGAAACUGAGACUUGUGAACUCCAU